ensembl:lncRNA
GGGGAUUAAAUUAAUCCAAAAAAAAAAGAAAAAAAGAAUGAGGAGGAGGAGGGGGAGGAGGAGAGAAGAACAAGAAGAAGAAGGAGGAGGAAGAGGAGAAAAAAGAGAAGGAGGAAGAGGCAACAUGAGGAAUGGAUCUGUCAUUUUCUUGCCAAAAGUUUACUCUCCUUAGUGAUAUAACCAAGUCAAUGGUUCACCUUAAAAUGACCUUUUAAAAUGAUGUAACAAGGUAUGAACAAGAGCUACCCUUUCUGGGGUCAUCAAAGUUUGGAUAAGGGGGCAAACAACUGUUGUCCCUGAUUUAGAGUUUUCAAAUGUGUUUGAUGCCAUCCACACACAAACCCAACUGUGGGAAUAGUGAAAACGUCUAAAAUUGAUUGAAACUGGAGGAUCCAUCUCUCCUCAUUUUUUGAUGCACCAAUUCAGAACAACAAAGCACCCUUCCUGAAAAUGAUGAUGAAAGGCGGCGAGGCAGCCCAGUGGUCAACCAGACUGAGAGGCGCUCCUGAAAUGUAAAGCCAGAUGUCUGCAUCCACCCUGGGACUCUGUUCAACACAGUCAACAACAAACAGUUGCCUGAAGAUUUCUGUUUGUGGAGUGAUCUGCAAGCAUGUCUGAUCAAAAGGAGUCACCACCAAGUGGUGUAAAACCUUCCUCUUCUCAACCCAUUAGCACUUCCAGCUCUUCUGAUUCAAAAGAGAAUCUCAUAGAAAAUUUACUAGACAACUUGCUUCCUGAAAUCCUUGUGACAGAAGAAAAAGAAGAAUCUUCUACAGAAAUAAGUCGCAAAAGGCCAGAGUUGCUGAUUCAGGAUACCACCAAAACUCCACCUCCUUCCACAGCUCCUUCCCUAUCUUUAGACUCUUUUACUUUUUCUCCAGUUAAAAGUGAUGACAAACAACUGAAAGUCCCAGGACUAGCACCAUUUUUAUCAAGCAGCUCAGAGGAAGCACUGUUCAAAGAAGGAUUGGAGGAUAUCCGGAAAAUAACAUCAGGGUUAGGCUUACCUUUCCUUUUAGGCUAUUCUGACGACUCUUCCAGCUCAUCUGGUUUUAUCCCAAUUCCACUGUCUGUUCCUCCGAAGCAACUUGAAGGCAAACUAUUACUGGUCCACGCAUCUCGUUCAGUGCACCGUGCCACUCAGACCUCCUGGUUAGAAAAUGACUCUGAUUUAUCUUCCACGGAAAACAUUACAUCUUCCACCACGGUUGUUACAAAAAAAAACGACAGUGCUGUUCGGUCAUGGGAUCAAGCAAGCUGCAGUCCAGAAAAGCAGGCUGAUAUGUAUAUUAAAGGAACAAGAAAUCCAUCACCUACCAGGACGUAUCAGACUGUGUUUAGGAGCAUCCUACAAGAAUUGCUAGAACGAGAAUUACAAGAAGCUGAUAUUGACGUGGCGCCCUCUGCUCGGCUAAAACAAGAUACCCGAAUGAGACUUGCCCACAUGUAAGUGGAUGGGUAUAUUUUGCAUUAUAAUUAAGGGGUCAGGCCAGAACAUAAGCCAAAGUGAAACACGAAUGGCCAGGGAAGGUUUAAAUGAAGUCUAGAGGGCCAGACACGCAGAUAUGCCGAGUCAAGCCCUAGAAGGUCAGUUGGUCUCUGCUCACCUGUAUGUAGUGAGGCCAGAAAAAGGUAGAUUGGAAAGGCACAGAAACACAUAUUACCCAGGACCAAAGAGAGAGCAGGAUCCAGAAAUCAGUCAGAAAAUGAGGUUUUGGAAGGGACAGACGAAAAAUUAGUAGGGAGGCAGCCUCAAAAGUAGGAAUCAAGUCCCUGCCAAAGAACAGGGCUAAAUCACAAGGUAAGGGUCCACGCAAGGACUCUAGGGUCAGAAAUCUAGGCAAAGAGUGACCUGCAAGGGAUCACAGCACAGGAAAGUGAUUGGCAAUGGCAAAGGCCAAAAAGGAGCUGGGGGAAAUGGGAAGGUGACAGGGAUCCAACCACCCACAGGUCAACCUGCUUUCAUAUAAACUUUAAAAAAUUUUUUCUGCGUUUUAAUUAAUUUAUUUAUUUUGAACAUUGUUUCUAAAUUUUUAGGAUCAAAUUCUCUCCUUCUACCAUGCCUACUGAGAAAGUAAGCAAAAUGAUAUAAAUUAUACAUAUGAAAUCAGGCAAAAAAGAUUUUUAUAUUGGCUAUAUUUCCCCAAAAAAGCAAGAAAAUAUAAAUGAGAAAAUUAUACUUCAAUUUUCACUCAGAGUUCAUCAGUUUUCUCUUUGGAAGUGGAUUGCAUUUUUUUCAUCAUGAAUCUUUUGGAAUUGUCUU